rnacentral:misc_RNA from 1 species
CCGAGUUAUCCAACUCCCAAACCCUUCUGUGAACCUAUACCGACACGUUGCUUCGGCGGGAACGGCCCCGGCGCCGCCCUCGCGGCGCGGCCGGACCCAGGCGCCCGCCGGAGGACCACACACCAAACUCUUGAAUUUCUUCAGGCGUCUUCUGAGUGGAAUCUAAAAAAAUGAAUCAAAACUUUCAACAACGGAUCUCUUGGUUCUGGCAUCGAUGAAGAACGCAGCGAAAUGCGAUACGUAAUGUGAAUUGCAGAAUUCAGUGAAUCAUCGAAUCUUUGAACGCACAUUGCGCCCGCCAGCAUUCUGGCGGGCAUGCCUGUCCGAGCGUCAUUUCAACCCUCAAGCCCCGGCGGCUUGGUGCUGGGGGACGGCCCGCCGAUCGCGCGCGGGCCACCCCCGAAAUGAAUUGGCGGCCUCGGCGCCGCCUCCCCCUGCGUAGUAGCGACAGCAAGUCUCGCACCGGGAGCGCGCCGCGGCCACUGCCGUAAAACGCCCAACUUUUUCAGAGUU